rnacentral:rRNA from 1 species
UAGGGAAUAUUAGUAAUGGGCGAAAGCCUGAACUAGCAACGCCGCGCGUGCGAAGAAGGCCUUCGGGUCGUAAAGCACUUUUUGAGAGGAUGAGGAAGGACGGUACUCUCAGAAUAAGUCUCGGCUAACUACGUGCCAGCAGCCGCGGUAACACGUAGGAGGCAAACGUUAUCUGGAUUUACUGGGCGUAAAGCGCGUGUAGGUGGUUUGGUAAGUAGGGCGUGAAAGCUCCUGGCUCAACUGGGAGAGGACGUUCUAAACUGCCAAGCUUGAGGAUGGUAGAGGGAGGUGGAAUUCCGGGUGGAGCGGUGGAAUGCGCAGAUAUCCGGAGGAACACCAGUGGCGAAGGCGGCCUCCUGGACCACUCCUGACAAUCAGACGCGACAGCUAGGGUAGCAAACGG